CAGACGGGAGGCAGAAGAGGGGGAGAGGGAACAAUGGGGGAAACCCUGAUGCAGCGACGCCGCGUGUGGGAAGACGGUCCUCUGGAUUGUAAACCACUGUCCCCAGGGACGAAGAUGACGGUACCUGGGGAGGAAGCUCCGGCUAACUACGUGCCAGCAGCCGCGGUAAUACGUAGGGAGCGAGCGUUGUCCGGAAUUACUGGGUGUAAAGGGAGCGUAGGCGGGGAUGCAAGUUGGGUGUCAAAACUACCGGCUCAACUGGUAGUCGCACUCAAAACUGCAGCUCUUGAGUGAAGUAGAGGCAGGCGGAAUUCCUAGUGUAGCGGUGAAAUGCGUAGAUAUUAGGAGGAACACCAGUGGCGAAGGCGGCCUGCUGGGCUUUUACUGACGCUGAGGCUCGAAAGUGUGGGGAGCAAACAGGAUUAGAUACCCUAGUAGUC
rnacentral:rRNA from 1 species